AUUGAACGCUGGCGGAAUGCUUUACACAUGCAAGUCGAACGGCAGCACGGACUUCGGUCUGGUGGCGAGUGGCGAACGGGUGAGUAAUGUAUCGGAACGUGCCCAGUCGUGGGUGAUAACGUAGUGAAAAUUACGCUAAUCACGCAUACGAUCUAUGGAUGAACGCGGGGGAUCGCAAUACCGCGCGCGAUUGGAGCGCCCGAUAUCCGAUUAGGUAUGUGGUGGGGUAAAGGCCCACCAAGCCAACGAUCUGUAGCUGGUCUGAGAGGACGACCAGCCACACUGGAACUGAGACACGGUCCAGACUCCUACGGGAGGCAGCAGUGGGGAAUUUUGGACAAUGGGCGAAAGCCUGAUCCAGCCAUUCCGCGUGCAGGAUGAAGGCCCUCGGGUUGUAAACUGCUUUUGUACAGAACGAAAAGGUUUCUACUAAUACUAGGGGCUCAUGACGGUACUGUAAGAAUAAGCACCGGCUAACUACGUGCCAGCCGCCGCCGUAA
rnacentral:rRNA from 1 species